rnacentral:rRNA from 1 species
GACGAACGCUGGCGGCGUGCUUAACACAUGCAAGUCGAGCGGUAAGGCCUUUCGGGGUACACGAGCGGCGAACGGGUGAGUAACACGUGGGUGAUCUGCCCUGCACUUCGGGAUAAGCCUGGGAAACUGGGUCUAAUACCGGAUAUGACCUCCUAUCGCAUGGUGGGUGGUGGAAAGAUUUAUCGGUGCAGGAUGGGCCCGCGGCCUAUCAGCUUGUUGGUGGGGUAAUGGCCUACCAAGGCGACGACGGGUAGCCGACCUGAGAGGGUGACCGGCCACAAUGGGACUGAGACACGGCCCAGACUCCUACGGGAGGCAGCAGUGGGGAAUAUUGCACAAUGGGCGAAAGCCUGAUGCAGCGACGCCGCGUGAGGGAUGACGGCCUUCGGGUUGUAAACCUCUUUCAGCAGGGACGAAGCGCAAGUGACGGUACCUGCGGAAGAAGCACCGGCUAACUACGUG